rnacentral:rRNA from 1 species
CAGUAGCCGCGGUAAUACGAGGGGGGCAAGCAUUGUUCGGAAUUAUUGGGCGUAAAGGGCGCGUAGGCGGUUUGACAAGUUUCAUGUGAAAUCUAUGGGCUCAACCCAUAGUCUGCAUGGAAAACUGUCGGGCUUGAGUAUGGGAGAGGUGAGUGGAAUUUCCGGUGUAGCGGUGAAAUGCAUAGAUAUCGGAAGGAACACCUGAGGCGAUAGCGGCUCACUGGACCAUAACUGACGCUGAGGCGCGAAAGCUAGGGGAGCAAACAGGAUUAGAUACCCCCGUAGUCCCUGUCUCUUAUAC